UACGUAGGGUGCGAGCGUUGUCCGGAAUUAUUGGGCGUAAAGGGCUCGUAGGCGGUUUGUCGCGUCGGGAGUGAAAACAUCGGGCUUAACUCGAUGCUUGCUUUCGAUACGGGCAGACUUGAGGUAUGCAGGGGAGAAUGGAAUUCCUGGUGUAGCGGUGAAAUGCGCAGAUAUCAGGAGGAACACCGGUGGCGAAGGCGGUUCUCUGGGCAUUACCUGACGCUGAGGCGCGAAAGCUAGGGGAGCGAACAGG
rnacentral:rRNA from 1 species